UACAGAGGGUGCAAGCGUUGUUCGGAUUUACUGGGCGUAAAGGGCGCGUAGGCGGCGCAACAAGUCACUUGUGAAAUCUCCGGGCUUAACCCGGAGCGGUCAAGUGAUACUGUCGUGCUAGAGUGCGGAAGGGGCUACUGGAAUUCUCGGUGUAGCGGUGAAAUGCGUAGAUAUCGAGAGGAACACCUGCGGCGAAGGCGGGUAGCUGGGCCGACACUGACGCUGAUGCGCGAAAGCCAGGGGAGCGAACGGG
rnacentral:rRNA from 1 species